rnacentral:rRNA from 1 species
CAGUAGCCGCGGGAAUACGAAGGGUGCAAGCGUUACUCGGAAUUACUGGGCGUAAAGCGUGCGUAGGUGGUGGUUUAAGUCCGUUGUGAAAGCCCUGGGCUCAACCUGGGAAUUGCAGUGGAUACUGGGUCACUAGAGUGUGGUAGAGGAUAGUGGAAUUUCCGGUGUAGCAGUGAAAUGCGUAGAGAUCGGAAGGAACAUCUGUGGCGAAGGCGACUAUCUGGGCCAACACUGACACUGAGGCACGAAAGCGUGGGGAGCGAACAGGAUUAGAUACCCCCGUAGUCCCUGUCUCUUAUAC